rfam:Oryza sativa (indica cultivar-group) chromosome 12, whole genome shotgun sequence.
AAUAAGUACAGUUUUGUAUGUUCAACAUUUGACCAUUCAUCUUAUUUGAAAAUUUUAUAUAAUUAGUUUUUUUAGAUGAUAAAGCAUGAAUAGUAAUUUAUAUGUGACUAUUUUUAAAAAAUAUAUUUAUAAUUUUUUUUAAAUAAGACGGACGGUCAAACGUUGGACACAGAUACCGACGGCUGCACUUAUU